rnacentral:rRNA from 1 species
UACGUAGGCAGCGAGCGUUGUUCGGAGUUACUGGGCGUAAAGAGUGCGUAGGCGGUGCUCCAAGUCUGGUGUGAAAUCUCCCGCUUAACCGGGAGGGUGCGCCGGAAACUGGGGUGCUGGAGUGUGGGAGAGGUAAGCGGAAUUCCCGGUGUAGCGGUGAAAUGCGUAGAUAUCGGGGAGGAACACCUGCGGUGUAGACGGCUUACUGGACCAUAACUGACGCUGAGGCACGAAAGCGUGGGUAGCAAACAGG